rnacentral:rRNA from 1 species
GAUGAACGCUGGCGGCGUGCCUAAUACAUGCAAGUCGAGCGAACAGACGAGGAGCUUGCUCCUCAGACGUUAGCGGCGGACGGGUGAGUAACACGUGGAUAACCUACCUAUAAGACUGGGAUAACUUCGGGAAACCGGAGCUAAUACCGGAUAAUAUAUUGAACCGCAGGGUUCAAUAGUGAAAGACGGUUUUGCUGUUACUGAUAGAUGGAUCCGCGCCGCAUUAGCUAGUUGGUAAGGUAACGGCUUACCAAGGCAACGAUGCGUAGCCGACCUGAGAGAGGGAUCGGCCACACUGGAACUGAGACACGGUCCAGACUCCUACGGGAGGCAGCAGUAGGCAAUCUUCCGCAAUGGGCGAAAGCCUGACGGAGCAACGCCGCGUGGGUGAUGAAGGUCUUCGGAUCGUAAAACUCUGUUAUUAGGGAAGAACAAAUGUGUAAGUAACUAUGCACGUCUUGACGGUACCUAAUCAGAAAGCCACGGCUAACUACGUG